rnacentral:ncRNA from 1 species
UAUGGGGUAUGCGAAACACCCCGUGAGGCGACAGCCGAAGGAUCGCGUCCCCAACCCUUAAUAAAGGAGGACGCAUUAUG